UACAGACGUCNAACUACAGCACGACUGUGCUAGCGCGAGAAAAUCAGCCCUCUAGAAGGGGAUAACGGCUGGAAACGGCCGCUAAUACCCCAUAUGCCGAGAGGUGAAAUGAAUUUCGCCUGAGGAUGAGCUCGCGUCUGAUUAGCUAGUUGGUGUGGAAAAGGCUCACCAAGGCACUCGAUCAGUAGCUGGUCUGAGAGGAUGAUCAGCCACACUGGGACUGAGACACGGCCCAGACUCCUACGGGAGGCAGCAGUGGGGAAUUUUCCGCAAUGGGCGCAAGCCUGACGGAGCAUCGCCGCGUGAGGGAUGAAGGCCUCUGGGCUGUAAACCUCUUUUAUCAUGGAAGAAGAUCUGACGGUACUUGAUGAAUAAGCCACGGCUAAUUCCGUGCCAGCAGCCGCGGUAAUACGGGAGUGGCAAGCGUUAUCCGGAAUUAUUGGGCGUAAAGCGUCCGCAGGCGGAUUUACAUGUCUGUCGUUAAAACGUGGAGCUCACCUCCAUUUCGGCGAUGGAAACUGUAAGACUAGAGUGUGGUAUGGGCAGAGGGAAUCCCCGGUGUAGCGGUGAAAUGCGUAGAUAUCGGUAAGAACACCAGUGACGAAGGCGCUCUGCUGGGCCAUAACUGACGCUCAUGGACGAAAGCUAAGGGAGCGAAAGGGAUUAGAUCCCCUUGUAGUCCUAGCCGUAA
rnacentral:rRNA from 1 species